UACAGAGGUCUCAAGCGUUGUUCGGAAUCACUGGGCGUAAAGGGUGCGUAGGCGGGUCUUUUAAGUCAGGGGUGAAAUCCUGGAGCUCAACUCCAGAACUGCCUUUGAUACUGGAGAGCUUGAGUCCGGAAGAGGUGAGUGGAACUCCGAGUGUAGAGGUGAAAUUCGUAGAUAUUCGGAAGAACACCAGUGGCGAAGGCGGCUCACUGGUCCGGUACUGACGCUGAUGUGCGAAAGCGUGGGGAGCAAACAGG
rnacentral:rRNA from 1 species